rnacentral:rRNA from 1 species
GCUGCUCCUAGUACGAGAGGACCGGAGUGGACGCAUCACUGGUGUUCGGGUUGUCAUGCCAAUGGCACUGCCCGGUAGCUAAAUGCGGAAGAGAUAAGUGCUGAAAGCAUCUAAGCACGAAACUUGCCCCGAGAUGAGUUCUCCCUGAGACUUUAAGUCUCCUGAAGGAACGUUGAAGACGACGACGUUGAUAGGCCGGGUGUGUAAGCGCAGCGAUGCGUUGAGCUAACCGGUACUAAUGAACCGUGAGGCUUAACCUU